AAUAUAUGGUGGGGGCAUGCGUCUAGGAGAUUCCUGAAGCGUUCCCAAUACUCAUAAAGAGUCUCUGAUUCACCUUGAAUAAUACAGGAAAUUUCUUUCCUCAUUCU